rnacentral:rRNA from 1 species
GCUCAGAACGAACGCUGGCGGCGUGCUCCCACAUGCAAGUCGAACGAACCUUCGGGUUAGUGGCGGACGGGUGAGUAACGCGUGACCAUCUGCCCUCAGGGGGGGGAUAACGGUUGGAAACGACCGCUAAUACCCCAUAUGCCGAGAGGUGAAAAGAAAUUCGCCUGAGGAUGAGCUCGCGUCUGAUUAGCUAGUUGGUGUGGUAAUGGCGCACCAAGGCUUCGAUCAGUAGCUGGUCUGAGAGGAUGAUCAGCCACACUGGGACUGAGACACGGCCCAGACUCCUACGGGAGGCAGCAGUGGG